rnacentral:rRNA from 1 species
AUGGCAGGAUCGUGCUGGGCAUUCGCGGCGGUGGCGGCCAUCGAAGGCAUGAACAAGAUUAGGACAGGGGAGCUGGUGUCGCUGUCCGAGCAGGAACUCGUGGACUGCGACACCGGGAGCAGCGGCUGCGGCGGCGGCCACUCAGACUCGGCUAUGGCCCUCGUGGCCGCCCGUGGUGGCAUCACGUCGGAGGAGAAGUACCCCUACGCCGGAUUCCAGGGAAAGUGCGACGUGGACAAGCUGCUGUUCGAC